rnacentral:rRNA from 1 species
CGCAAGAGUUGCGGCGGAGGGUGAGUACACGUGGGUAACCUGCCUGUAAGACUGGGAUAACUCCGGGAAACCGGAGCUAAUACCGGAUAGUUCCUUGAACCGCAUGGUUCAAGGAUGAAAGACGGUUUCGGCUGUCACUUACAGAUGGACCCGCGGCGCAUUAGCUAGUUGGUGAGGUAACGGCUCACCAAGGCGACGAUGCGUAGCCGACCUGAGAGGGUGAUCGGCCACACUGGGACUGAGACACGGCCCAGACUCCUACGGGAGGCAGCAGUAGGGAAUCUUCCGCAAUGGACGAAAGUCUGACGGAGCAACGCCGCGUGAGUGAUGAAGGUUUUCGGAUCGUAAAGCUCUGUUGUUAGGGAAGAACAAGUGCAAGAGUAACUGCUUGCACCUUGACGGUACCUAACCAGAAAGCCACGGCUAACUACGUGCCAGCAGCCGCGGUAAUACGUAGGUGGCAAGCGUUGUCCGGAAUUAUUGGGCGUAAAGGGCUCGCAGGCGGUUUCUUAAGUCUGAUGUGAAAGCCCCCGGCUCAACCGGGGAGGGUCUGG